UGAGCAAUCUGCCCUUCUCUUUGGAAUAAGCGUUGGAAACGACGUCUAAUGCCGAAUACGACCUCCUUUCGCAUGAUCGGAGGUGGAAAGCUCCGGCGGAGAAGGAUGAGCUCGCGGCCUAUCAGCUAGUUGGUGUGGGUACUGGCCCACCAAGGCCGACGACGGGUAGCCGGCCUGAGGAGGGUGACCGGCCACACUGGGACUGAGCACGGCCCAGACCUCCGUACGGGGAGGNAGCG
rnacentral:rRNA from 1 species